AGCAGUGUCCAAUACAUGGUGCUGUUUCUCCCAUAGCCAGAAUUCACAGGUCCAGAAAUCAAGGGGUGGAAGUGGAAGUGGCACCACUCACCAUCACCCCUAGUAACCCACUAGCAAAAUUUUUGCUUCCUGCUCCUGUGACAUUAUGUUCUGCUGGCCUAGAGGUCUUUGUUCCAGAGGGAGGAAUGCUGCCACCUGGAGACACAACAACGAUUUCAUUAAACUGGGAGUUAAGAUUGCCAUCUGGACACUUUGGGCUCCUCCUACAUUUAAGUCAACAGGCUAUGAAGGGGGUAACUGUGUUGGCUGGGGUGAUUGACCUGGACUAUCAAGAUGAAAUCAGUAUACUACUCCACAAUGGAGUAUGCUCCCUGAACAUAAAUGAACUCAAAGAACAAAUCAUCUGAGAGAACACCUGAUCUACAUGUAUACAUACAUCCCAAAUCUGCUCUUCUGACUCUCCAUCAGUGCAUGUCAAUACCAUCCAAGUUAUGACUCAAGAUGGAAACAAGAAAGUCAUCCUUCACAUUUGCCUACCCCUUAAUUUUCGUAGAGUCUCUUAAAGAUUAUUCCUGAAAUAUCUCUCAAAUUUGUCUUUUUUGAUUACAACCUUACUGACAUUGCAGUAAGUUAGAAACUCAACAUCUGUAGUCUAAACCGUUAAAAUAACUGCUUGACUU